rnacentral:rRNA from 1 species
CCUACGGGAGGCUGCAGUGGGGAAUAUUGGACAAUGGGCGAAAGCCUGAUCCAGCCAUGCCGCGUGUGUGAAGAAGGCCUUCGGGUUGUAAAGCACUUUCAGUGGGGAAGAAAGCCUUGGGGCUAAUACCCUCGAGGAAGGACAUCACCCACAGAAGAAGCACCGGCUAACUCCGUGCCAGCAGCCGCGGUAAUACGGAGGGGGCGAGCGUUAAUCGGAAUUACUGGGCGUAAAGCGCGCGUAGGCGGUCUGAUAAGCCGGUUGUGAAAGCCCCGGGCUCAACCUGGGAACGGCAUCCGGAACUGUCAGGCUAGAGUGCAGGAGAGGAAGGUAGAAUUCCCGGUGUAGCGGUGAAAUGCGUAGAGAUCGGGAGGAAUACCAGUGGCGAAGGCGGCCUUCUGGACUGACACUGACGCUGAGGUGCGAAAGCGUGGGUAGCAAACAGGAUUAGAUACCCUUGUAGUC